rnacentral:rRNA from 1 species
GACGUAGGGCGCGAGCGUUGUCCGGAUUUAUUGGGCGUAAAGAGCUCGUAGGCGGCUUGUCGCGUCGACUGUGAAAUCCCGCGGCUCAACCGCGGGUCUGCGAGUCGAUACGGGCAGGCUAGAGGUUCGGUAGGGGAGACUGGAAUUCCUGGUGUAGCGGUGAAAUGCGCAGAUAUCAGGAGGAACACCGAUGGCGAAGGCAGGUCUCUGGGCCGAUACUGACGCUGGAGGAAGCGAAAGCGUGGGGAGCGAACAGG